rnacentral:lncRNA from 1 species
CCACAUUUUCCCAAUCCAGUCUAUCAUCAAUGGGCAUUUGGGUUGGUUCCAGGUCUUUGCUAUUGUAAACAGUGCUGCAAUGAACAUUCGUAUGCAUGUGUCCUUAUAGUAGAACAAUUUAUAGUCCUUUGGAUAUAUACCCAGUAAUGGGAUUGCUGGGUCAAAUGGAAUUUCUAUUUCUAAGGCCUUGAGAAAUCGCCACACUGACUUCCACAAUGGUUGAACUAAUUUACACUCCCACCAGCAGUGUAAAAGUGUUCCUUUUUCUCCACAUCCUCUCCAGCAUCUGUUGUCUCCAGAUUUUUUUAAUGAUCACAGAUGAACAGUCUUAGCUAGUGGGAUGUGAGCAGAAGUGAUAGAUGCUACUUCUUGUCUGAGACGAUUGUGAGCUGGUGUAAUUCUCCAUGUUCUCUCCCAGAGAGUUUUACAAUGAAAUGUAAUGAAAAUAGGUUGGUUCUCUGAGUCACUGCUGGAAGAAGAGUAAUAGGGAGAGCUGCCUCACUUGCCUCGAAUUGUGAUAUGAGCAAGAAAUAAAUCAGCAUUGUGUUAAACAAUGGAGAUUUCAGGAUCUAUUUGUUAUUAUAGCAGAACCUAACUUAUACUGACUAAUAAAUACUUCCUUGGUGGGUUUAUUCUUAUGAACAUGUCUAAAAGAAAAUAUAACUAACAAACUAACACCUGAGUUUCUCAAACGUGUGAAUGUAUGAAGCCCUUUCAAGAGAAAUAAAAUGUCUCUUGGGACACUUAAUUUAGUAUAUUUUUAAGGUAAUUAUAUAUGUGAAACUUGGUAAAAAUUAUAUACUUAUAGCUUUUAUAUAACGCUAACACCAAAUUAAAAAACAUAGAAAAACAAAAUUAAUGCAAUUUGUGAUUGAUAAUAGUUUGUUGAAAUAAAUAUAUUGUGUGCAUUUUGUUUAGUAGUUGAAAAAUACAAUGUCAAAUUCAAUUCUAUGUUCAGUUUAUUUCUGUAUUUUGACUUUAGUGACUGUAAGCAGAAAAAGCCUGGUUGCACAAGAAUGCUGUAGAUAGAAAAUGGCUUAGAAAACUUCAGGCCUUUGUUCAUUAGUUCAAGAUAAUAGGACCUUUCUUUUACCUCAAAUCCUGCCUUGGAGCAAUCCUCAAGUGUCCAUUUCAAUGAGAUGUCUCCUAAUCACUCUCUCAGCUGUCUCAUUCAUUGGAGAGAAAAGUUAGCACUGCAUUAUUAGUUAAACCAGCAUGAAGUGUGUCUCUAAUCCAAUUAUUGCUUAAAUUAGGGCAGAGAAAGUGUUUGUUGUUCAUUUGUUACCAUGCCUAGUGCUGAUCAGCAUUUCUAAGUGGUUCACAGGAAGUCAAGAUUCACCUAGUGAAUCUGCUUGCAAUGGAUUCCAGAAUAAGGCUUUUCUGAAUUAGGCAUGCUCAGUAACCCAUCACCUUCCUGGUAAAACAGGAAAAUCGCAAAAUUCUUAUAAAUAACUAUUUUGGAUCCUUGAGAAUAUGGCCACAGAACUAAGAGUUUACGGACUUCUCAUUGAUAUAAGUUGAGUUUGAGUUUUGGAGUCCAAAAAGUUUGGCCUUUCAGAGUCAGACAAAACUGAAUUCAAAUCUUAAGUCAGCCAUGUAAUCUUGGGCAAGUUACUUCUCCUAAGGCCCUGUGUAUUUGCUAUAAUGUAGACAUACUAAUACCUAUUAUGUAAUAUCAUGAUGAUUAAAUGAGAUACACACAUUCAGCACAUGGCAUAUGGAGUCAUUCAAUAAAUGGAAGCUGUGAUUACUACACCCACUAGUUAAUUAGUUUGGUUAAUUUUCUUCUAAGUAUCUGGGUGGAUCAAUCUGCUCUUCUCCAUUUUGUUUUCAUCCGCUAAUAUCCCAAGGUGGUUCUCGAGGCUUGAAGAAAAAAUGGUAUCUAUCUGCACAGUGUUGACCUUAAAGAUGAUCCUGCUUAUGUCCCAGUGGUAUAAUCUCCUGGC